ACCUUCUCCAACUUGUGAUUGAACUAAAAUACUGCUUCAAAAUGACAUUGAAAUACCAGUACACACUGACAAGUGGAUUGCCUCACAAUGAAGAAGCGGCAGUGAUGAAUUGCUCUUGAAAUCUCCCAAAUCAGUAUAAAAGGCCUACUUCUGUCAUCUGAAAAACUGUCCCUGAGAGUGGGAAUUCUACAGGAACAACCUAGGAGUACAAUCCAGAAGGAGGUUGGCUGAAAGGGCGGUGGAAUUGGCAUUAUUCCAUUGCCGACAUACAUACAACUCCAUGUGGGACAAAGCCCUGAGGAGCUCCACCUGUCAUUCCUCUCCAAGAGGAUGGAAAACCAAUAACACUCUUUGAGUACAAUCUGUCUACCAGUUACAGAUCCACCUAAGAGUAACAGGAUCCAAACCAACUUGUCAACAAGAAUAUUGUGUGAUAUAUGUUGUGGUGGAGGAGAACUAGUUGCAAUUACAGUGGUAGUGGCAGAAGGCAUUCCAGUAGUGCCGAAGAAAAUCGAGAAACAGGAGCUUGAGGAGGGAAGGAAUGGAAUUUCCCGUCCGUCACGAGGUUUCUGAGAUGUUCCCUGGUUUUAAAUGUUUUGAAAUAUUUUUAAGUGAUGCUCCUUGCUUUUAAGUCAUUUUCAAACAGGUUUCUUCAUUUUUCUUUCUUUUACGAGCAUGGGUACUAGUCUACUUAUUAAAACCUUCAUUAAGGAGUACUUAAAAACGGAUGGAUGACUAGUCACAAAUUACUGUUACAAUAAGCAGACAUCCUUUUAAGUGUUUCCAGAUUGAGCACAUGAAAUUGCCAUCAAUGCACAAUGGGAAUCUAAGCUAGUCUGAGUAAAGCAAUACCAUGAUUAUACCAGUUAAUAACAUGACUUACAAAGGUCAAGUGCAAAAGCAAUGAAUAAAAUAAGUCUUACCUUAUU